GCAGUGGUGGUUCAGUGGUAGAAUUCUCACCUUCCAUGCCCGAGACCAGGGUUCGAUUCCUGGCCAAUGCA
rnacentral:tRNA from 1 species